rnacentral:rRNA from 1 species
CAAUAGCUACUUGCAUCAUUGUAAAUAUGAUGCAAGAUCGACUAUGUCGAAUAAAAUUCUAGGUAGAAUUAUGAUAAUGACAUUGUCUGCCUAUGUGUCUUGACCAAAUUACGUGCCAGCAGUCGCGGUAAUACGUAGAAGACUAGUGUUAUUCAUGUUUAAUCGGUUUAAAGGGUACCUAGACGGUAAAUCAAGCCUAAAAGGAAAGAAAUGAAGGGACUAAUUUACUAGAGUUACUUAUGAGGGGGUAUUAAAGUACUGCUGGUGUAGAGAUGAAAUUCUGUCAUACCUCUUUUCAAUAGAAAAAUAAUGGCACAGGUAUAGGCGAAAGCAUCCCCUUAUGUGAUAACUGACGUUGAGGGACGAAGGCUUUGUGUAGCGAACAGGAUUAGAUACCCCAGUAGUCAAAGCAGAAAAUGAUGAAUGUCAUAGAUUAGAUAUAUAAGUUUAUUCUAUAAAUGAAAGUGUAAGCAUUCCACCUCAAGAGUAAUUUGGCAACAUUGGAACUGAAAUCAUUAGACCGUUUCUGAAACCAGUAGUGAAGUAUGUUGUUUAAUUUGAUGAUCCGCAAAAAACCUUACCACAAUUUGAAUAUUUAUAUCUUAUAUUGUUUUUUUUUAACUUUAUUCUAAUUUUCUACUUAAAAGAAAACAAUAACAAUAAAAAAGAGACAAUAA